rnacentral:lncRNA from 1 species
UCCAUCAUGCUAUCAUUUAUUCAGGGACUUUUUAUUUGCUAAUACCUAUCUGUGCAUACAACUAAAUUCCUCAUAAUUAUUUCUCAAAUGGCUGCAAUUUCUUGAUCUGCUAACUAUAUGUAAAAUGUGCCAAAUACAGAAAUGACCAUGUCCAAAGGCUGAGGGACAAUGUGGAGGAACUGCUGGAGGCAUCCCAAGGGCUGGAUGAAGUGGCUAAGAAAAUAACUGACUCGGUGACCGUCAGCCGUGGUUCGUCACCAGUUUGGCCUGAAUUCAAACAGGCAUUCAUCUGUUUGAUUUGCAGAGCUGAUCACGAUCAGCUGGAGAACGAUCCCCGUGCCGGGCACGUGGGUGGCGCCGGUACACGCCCUCCAACACACUCCUCCACCGUCAGACCAAGCCACCGGCCGCUCGGGUUCCAUCCCAGGCAGGCGUCCCUGCGGGACAGGGCAUCUGCGUUGGCAUGCUCCUUCCCCGGUCUGUGGGCCACCUGGAACCGAAAGUCCUGGAGCGCCAGGAACCACCUCGUCACCCGGGCGUUGGUGUCUUUGGCGCCCGCCAUCCAUUUCAGUGGCGCAUGGUCGGUGACCAGGGUGAACUCUCGACCUAGGAGGUAAUAGCGCUGUUUAUCAAGAGACCACUUGAUUGCCAGGGCUUCUUUCUCUACCGUGGAAUAGUUCCUCUCGU